UAGGAAUGACUCUGCAUGUGGUCAACACACACUACCCUGGAAGACCCGAGAGUUCAAGGACGGCCAACUUUCACUUAAGCAAACUUGUCCACAGACUGCGUGGGUCCCAUCAGCUGAGAGUAGCCUCCACAUUGCAGUGAUGUGCAAACUUCUGCUUUUAAGUCAUGAUGGACUUUAGGGUCUAACCUGAGGACCCUACACAAGGCACAGUGGCCCAUCGUAUCCUAGGUGUUUUCCUGCCCUAACUGUGAAGCAAGAACCAAACACCACUCCUCAUGGGACUGUCUGAGAUGAGGCCCGCUGUGGGUCUGAACUGUCAGCAAGGAAAGGAGCUGUCUGUGCCAUACAUCGAAGCAUAGUGUCCCACAUAAGCCCAUCUCACAAAUGAUGCCAUCUCCUCCCCAGAGUGGCUCAAGUAAGGGUUAGGAGUGCCUCAUGAAUGCCAAGACCUCCCCUACUCCUGCAGACCCAUGAAUGGUGCCUUCUCAGGGCCCAUCUAUCCUGAGCCCAGGGAGCAGCCAGAGGGCAUAUUCAUGCGAUUUCAUACUCAAGUCAAUCUGCUAUCCUGUACCCCAUGAGUCGGGACUGAAACUCAGUGCUCAAGACCACUUGUUUUUUUUCUGGACAAGACUUUCAGAAUGUGGUCACACACAGUGUUAGUGACACAUUGCAUGCCCAUGACUGGCAUUCUUUGUAGCCCUGAGCACCCAGGGAUUCAGAUCAGCAUUGGCCAGAUCAGACUCUUUGCUACCUGGUCCUAUAGCUCACCUCCACUGUAGUUCCAUGUGUCCUGACUGCUGCAGCUGCACCAGAAGCUACCAGAUGUCUUCCCACAGAAUCGUACUGUAAUGUGGGCUCAUCCACAGACAUCUCACACUCUCCCUGCUGGGAGUUAGGCUGGAUGCCUCCUGUGUGAGAGCUGCCUUGCCUUGUGGAGCAGAGAGAGAAGCAGUGGAGGAGAUGUUGUCUGUUGCUCUUAUUGUCCUCAGUGCCCAGGGCUUCCCUGUGGUUUGGGUUCAGAUCCAGCUCCAGUGAAUCACUGAUUAAAUUCAGCCCAUAGAAGCUGCAAACACCAUGGGGCACAGGGUAGACCAGGAAUGAGGGGCAACCAAGCAAUCCAGGACCCUGUGUGGACCAGGGAAGCCAAUAAUCCAGGUCACCUCUCAGGCAGGAUGCAAGGCCAGGAG
rnacentral:lncRNA from 1 species